AAAUUGAAGAGUUUGAUCAUGGCUCAGAUUGAACGCUGGCGGCAGGCCUAACACAUGCAAGUCGAACGGUAACAGGAAGCAGCUUGCUGCUUUGCUGACGAGUGGCGGACGGGUGAGUAAUGUCUGGGAAACUGCCUGAUGGAGGGGGAUAACUACUGGAAACGGUGGCUAAUACCGCAUAACGUCGCAAGACCAAAGAGGGGGACCUUCGGGCCUCUUGCCAUCAGAUGUGCCCAGAUGGGAUUAGCUUGUUGGUGAGGUAACGGCUCACCAAGGCGACGAUCCCUAGCUGGUCUGAGAGGAUGACCAGCCACACUGGAACUGAGACACGGUCCAGACUCCUACGGGAGGCAGCAGUGGGGAAUAUUGCACAAUGGGCGCAAGCCUGAUGCAGCCAUGCCGCGUGUAUGAAGAAGGCCUUCGGGUUGUAAAGUACUUUCAGCGGGGAGGAAGGUGUUGUGGUUAAUAACCACAGCAAUUGACGUUACCCGCAGAAGAAGCACCGGCUAACUCCGUGCCAGCAGCCGCGGUAAUACGGAGGGUGCAAGCGUUAAUCGGAAUUACUGGGCGUAAAGCGCACGCAGGCGGUCUGUCAAGUCGGAUGUGAAAUCCCCGGGCUCAACCUGGGAACUGCAUUCGAAACUGGCAGGCUUGAGUCUUGUAGAGGGGGGUAGAAUUCCAGGUGUAGCGGUGAAAUGCGUAGAGAUCUGGAGGAAUACCGGUGGCGAAGGCGGCCCCCUGGACAAAGACUGACGCUCAGGUGCGAAAGCGUGGGGAGCAAACAGGAUUAGAUACCCUGGUAGUCCACGCCGUAAACGAUGUCUACUUGGAGGUUGUGCCCUUGAGGCGUGGCUUCCGGAGCUAACGCGUUAAGUAGACCGCCUGGGGAGUACGGCCGCAAGGUUAAAACUCAAAUGAAUUGACGGGGGCCCGCACAAGCGGUGGAGCAUGUGGUUUAAUUCGAUGCAACGCGAAGAACCUUACCUGGUCUUGACAUCCACAGAACUUUCCAGAGAUGGACUGGUGCCUUCGGGAACUGUGAGACAGGUGCUGCAUGGCUGUCGUCAGCUCGUGUUGUGAAAUGUUGGGUUAAGUCCCGCAACGAGCGCAACCCUUAUCCUUUGUUGCCAGCGAUUAGGUCGGGA
rnacentral:rRNA from 1 species